AGGAUUUUAAGUUAAAAAAACUAACAACCUUCAAAGCUGUUUAUAGGAGGAGAUCUUCUAAAUCCUA
rnacentral:tRNA from 1 species